UGCCUACGGGACGCAGCAGUAGGGAAUCUUCCACAAUGGGCGCAAGCCUGAUGGAGCAACACCGCGUGAGUGAAGAAAGGUUUCGGCUCGUAAAGCUCUUUUGGUGGAGAAGAACGUGCGUGAGAGCAACUGUUUACGCAGUGACGGUAUCCAAACAGAAAGUCACGGCUAACUACGUGCCAGCAGCCGCGGUAAUACGUAGGGGGCAAGCGUUAUCCGGAUUUAUUGGGCGUAAAGCGAGC
rnacentral:rRNA from 1 species